UUUUUUAGCCAAAAUGGUCCUUGAGAUUGUUGGAAAUGUGCCCUAAAGCCAAUCAUAUGAUGAUACUUUACAGACAUUUCACAUGUUAAAUUAAUCUAGUUUAAUAUAAAGGGCGAAGAUUAUCGUUUAAAACCGCCUCAUAUAAAUGUUAUAUACUUAAACGAUAAAUCCAAGGAAUAUGGAAUUUGGAGAAUGUGAUCUAAAAAAGUUAGAAUCAUGAGACUAUUCUUUUUCGUAUACAUAUCCUAAACGUUCCUGAUCUUAGGAUUGCCAAUUGGGCAUUGACAAUCCGUUAAGAUUAGUACGUGCUAUGUCUUCUCUUAGGGAAAGUGACUGGUCUCAAGUCAUUGGUGCGACUGACACCAAGACAAGCAUGUAGGUGCUUAAUGGAGAAUGAGUCCACCAAAUGCGAUCAACAAGGAGUUCUCAUACUCAUGUCACAUGAGAACUCAUGGUUGGGAUAAUGCAAAGAAGUCAUUUGACAUGAGGCAUCAUAGUUGUCUUGUGGUUAGGUCCUUGAUCUUUGACUAUCUCAAAGUCACUCCGUCAAAGGGUGUCCACGGCAUAGUUAGGGUUAAGCCACUUAGUCAUGGAGGCAAGUGCAUGCACAACAAGGGAUCUGUAACCUUCAAUCCAUUUGAGGGAGAAUACUCUAUGAUAUGAUUAAGAAUUUCUGACCAGAGUAUGAAUGAGAUUUAGGAAGUCAUUCCAAAUCACAUUCAAGGUAAUCAUAUAAGUAAAAAAAUCACAUUGGAUAGUAGACAUGAAUAAACUAUUUGUUGAGCUAUAUAUUUUAACAAACAAAAUAUAUUAGCAAGUGUUAUUAAAAACAUGGAGACUUAAGAGAAAAAUAAAAAAUAAAAAAAUAUUCUACACUCGCACGUACGUGGACUAUGACAAGUCUGAUGGAGUUUUGUUAUCUAAGUGGCAACCAAGUACAAAGAACAUGUGUGUCUAGAACUCUCCAAAAACCCCCCACGUUCUCCACUCAAGUGAUGGCUUUCUCUCAGCAUCUCCACACCCUAGGAAAAUAGCAUCCCACUAGCUUCAAUUGCCAUGUCCACCGUUCACCUAUAAAAAGGCAUCAAACCAAAGCAAAGUGGAGAACAGAAACAGAGAGGAGAGACUCUGUAGAAAUUGUGAGAGAAAUUGAGAGGAAAGAAGUAACGAAGUACUGCAGAAGAGAAGACGAAGUAAUUCCAUUACCGGCGAUUGAGAAGCAAACUACAAGAAACAAUCAGAAGGUACAAAACUAUGUUUCUCUUCAUUUUCUCUCCAGUAAAUUUAUUUUGCAGGCAAACGUUGUCAUUAAAAACCUUGGUCGGCAACAACAAUUUAUGCUAGCAACCUUUGAUGUUAGACAAAAACCCAAACGGAAAUGGCAAUCGUACCACGUCUCCAACCGACAUCUCCGGUGAUUUUCCAGAUGGAGUCUGUGCACUAUGCAACUUGAAGGAAAUAGAUUUGAUGAUGCAAUGUUGCAUCAAACCCCAACAAAACACAUAAGGAACUACGAGUGACUUGAUCCCUCAACGAGGGUAUGUAGGCAAUCUAGGGCUCUACCUAGACGCAGUCACAAAAUCAAAUAAACACUCAAAUCCCCAAGUUACGAUUUAUUCAUAUUAGAAUCAAAGGGUAUUCCUUUCCAAAGGAAGGGUUAUAAUUAAUAGGCACGUAGCCUAGAAUGGGUCGAACUCGAAUUAAUAAAACCCUCUUCAAAAAAUGAACGAGGG
rnacentral:lncRNA from 1 species